rnacentral:rRNA from 1 species
AUUGAACGCUGGCGGCAUGCCUUACACAUGCAAGUCGAACGGCAGCGGGCCUUCGGGUGCCGGCGAGUGGCGAACGGGUGAGUAAUGCAUCGGAACGUGCCAUUGAGUGGGGGAUAACGUAGCGAAAGUUACGCUAAUACCGCAUAUUCUGUGAGCAGGAAAGCAGGGGACCGCAAGGCCUUGCGCUCUUUGAGCGGCCGAUGUCAGAUUAGCUAGUUGGUGAGGUAAAGGCUUACCAAGGCGACGAUCUGUAGCGGGUCUGAGAGGAUGAUCCGCCACACUGGAACUGAGACACGGUCCAGACUCCUACGGGAGGCAGCAGUGGGGAAUUUUGGACAAUGGGCGCAAGCCUGAUCCAGCCAUGCCGCGUGAGUGAAGAAGGCCUUCGGUUGUAAGCUCUUUCGGUCCGGGAACGGAAAUACGCAUGGGUUAAGU